rnacentral:rRNA from 1 species
UUGAAAGUCUAACCUGCCCAAUGAUUGAUAUUGAAUGGCUGCGGUAAUUUGACUGUACAAAGGUAGCAUAAUCAUUAGUUUUUUAAUUAGAAGCUGGUAUGAAUGGUUGGACGAGGGAAAUUCUGUCUCGGUUUAAUUUAAUUGGAAUUUUACUUUUAAGUUAGAAGGCUUAAAUGUUAUUAAAAGACGAGAAGACCCUAUAGAGUUUAAUAUAUUAAUAUUUUUAUGUUUAUAGAAUAGUUUAUUUAUUAUGAUUAUUUAAUUUAUUUUGUUGGGGUGAUUGAAAAAUUUAAGAAACUUUUUUUUUAAGUUAACAUUAAUUUAUGAUUGUUUGAUCCAUGAUUUAUGAUUAUAAGAUUAAAUUACCUUAGGGAUAACAGCAUAAUUUUUCUGGAGAGUUCAAAUCGAUAGAAAAGAUUGUGACCUCGAUGUUGGAUUAAAAUAUAUUUUUGGCGCAGCAGCUGAAAGAUUUAGGUCUGUUCGACCUUUAAAAUUUUACAUGAUCUGAGUUCAAA